AUUGAACGCUGGCGGCAUGCCUUACACAUGCAAGUCGAACAGCAGCACGGGAGCUUGCUCCUGGUGGCGAGUGGCGAACGGGUGAGUAAAGUAUCGGAACAUGCCCUGAAGUGGGGGAUAACGUAGCGAAAGUUACGCUAAUACCGCUUAUUCUGUGAGCAGGAAAGCAGGGGAUCGCAAGACCUUGCGCUUUAGGAGUGGCCGAUAUCGGAUUAGCUAGUUGGUGAGGUAAAGGCUCACCAAGGCGACGAUCCGUAGCGGGUCUGAGAGGAUGAUCCGCCACACUGGGACUGAGACACGGCCCAGACUCCUACGGGAGGCAGCAGUGGGGAAUUUUGGACAAUGGGCGCAAGCCUGAUCCAGCCAUGCCGCGUGAGUGAAGAAGGCCUCGG
rnacentral:rRNA from 1 species